UCAGGAUGAACGCUAGCGACAGGCCUAACACAUGCAAGUCGAGGGCGAGCACAAGGAGCAAUCUGAGGUGGCGACCGGCGCACGGGUGAGUAACACGUAUGCAACCUGCCUGUAAGCGGGGAAUAACCCGUUGAAAGACGGACUAAUACCGCAUAAUACUAAAUUACUGCAUGGUAAUUUAUUUAAACAUUUAUGGCUUACAGAUGGGCAUGCGCAUGAUUAGCUAGUUGGAGAGGUAACGGCUCCCCAAGGCAACGAUCAUUAGGGGUUCUGAGAGGAAGGUCCCCCCACACUGGUACUGAGACACGGACCAGACUCCUACGGGAGGCAGCAGUGAGGAAUAUUGGUCAAUGGACGAGAGUCUGAACCAGCCAAGUCGCGUGCAGGAAGAAUUGUCCUAUGGAUUGUAAACUGCUUUUGCAGGGGAAUAAAGUGCAUCACGUGUGAUGUUUUGUAUGUACUCUGCGAAUAAGGAUCGGCUAACUCCGUGCCAGCCGCCGC
rnacentral:rRNA from 1 species